rnacentral:rRNA from 1 species
UACGGAGGGGGCGAGCGUUAUUCGGAAUCAUUGGGCGUAAAGGGCGCGUAGGCGGCCCCGUAAGUCUUGGGUGAAAGCCCUCGGCUCAACCGAGGAAUUGCCUUGGAUACUGCGGGGCUCGAGGCUGGAAGAGGACAGUGGAAUUCCCGGUGUAGCGGUGAAAUGCGUAGAUAUCAGGAGGAACACCGGUGGCGAAGGCGGGUCUCUGGGCCGAUACUGACGCUGAGGAGCGAAAGCGUGGGGAGCGAACAGG